rnacentral:rRNA from 1 species
UACAUGACAAGUACGAACGAAGAAGCGAGGAGUCUGCCUCUGGUAGGAAGUGGCGGACGGGUGAGUAACACGUAGGAACCUGCCUUUGAGUGGGGGACAACAGAGGGAAACUUCUGCUAAUACCCCAUAUGAGCGAGCUGAAAUGCUAUUCUUGAAAACUCCGGUGCUCAAAGAUGGGCCUGCGUCUGAUUAGCUUGUUGGCGGUGUAAUGGACCACCAAGGCGACGAUCAGUAGCUGGUUUGAGAGGAUGAUCAGCCACAAUGGGACUGAGACACGGCCCAUACUCCUACGGGAGGCAGCAGUAGGGAAUUUUGCGCAAUGGGCGAAAAAGCCUGACGCAGCAACGCCGCGUGAACGUAGAAGCCCUUCGGGGUGUAAAGUUCUGUCAGAGGGGACGAAUUUUGACGGUACCCUCAGAGGAAGCACCGGCUAACUCCGUGCCAGCCGCGGC